rnacentral:rRNA from 1 species
GACGAACGCUGGCGGCGUGCUUAACACAUGCAAGUCGAACGGUGAAGUUCCUUCGGGAAUGGAUUAGUGGCGAACGGGUGAGAAACACGUUAGAAACCUGCCUUUCAUUUUGGGAUAACUCCGGGAAACCGGAGCUAACACCGAAUACUCCGUCUCGGCGGCAUCGCUGAGCCGGGAAAAAAUUUUGAUGAAAGAUGGUCUCGCGGCCUAUCAGCUAGUUGGUGAGGUAAUGGCUCACAAAGGCGACGACGGGUAGCCGGCCUGAGAGGGCGACCGGCCACACUGGGACUGAGACACGGGCCAGACUUCUACGGGAGGCAGCAGUGGGGAAUAUCGGGCAAUGGGCGCAAGCCUGACCCAGCGACGCCGCGUGAGGGAUGAAGGCCUUCGGGUUGUAAACCUCUUUCAGUAGGGAAGAAGCGAAAGUGACGGUACCUAAAGAAGAAGCACCGGCUAACUAUGUGCCAGCCGCCGCGGUAA